rnacentral:rRNA from 1 species
AGAGUUUGAUCCUGGCUCAGGAUGAACGCUAGCGGCAGGCUUAACACAUGCAAGUCGAGGGGUAAUUCCGGCUUUUGUCGGAAACGACCGGCGAACGGGUGAGUAACGCGUAUGCAACCUGCCUGUAACUGCGGCAUAGCCCCGAGAAAUCGGGAUUAAUAUCGCAUAGUAUCCCAGUAUCGCAUGAUACAGGGAUGAAAGCUUCGGCGGUUACAGAUAGGCAUGCGUGACAUUAGCUUGUUGGUGAGGUAACGGCUCACCAAGGCGACGAUGUCUAGGGGGUCUGAGAGGAUGAUCCCCCACACUGGUACUGAGACACGGACCAGACUCCUACGGGAGGCAGCAGUGAGGAAUAUUGCGCAAUGGAGGAAACUCUGACGCAGCCAUGCCGCGUGCAGGAUGACAGCCCUAUGGGUUGUAAACUGCUUUUCUGCAGGAAGAAUCUUCCGUACGUGUACGGAAUUGACGGUACUGCAGGAAUAAGCAUCGGCUAACUCCGUGCCAGCAGCCGCGGUAAUACGGAGGAUGCAAGCGUUAUCCGGAUUCAUUGGGUUUAAAGGGUGCGCAGGCGGAGGUGUAAGUCAGAGGUGAAAGCCCACAGCUUAACUGUGGAAUGGCCUUUGAUACUGCACGUCUUGAGUCUAGCUGAGGUAGGCGGAAUGUAGUAUGUAGCGGUGAAAUGCUUAGAUAUACUACAGAACACCAAUUGCGAAGGCAGCUUACCAAACUAGCACUGACGCUCAGGCACGAAAGCGUGGGUAGCCAACAGGAUUAGAUACCCUGGUAGUCCACGCCGUAAACGUUGAUCACUCGUUGUUGGCAAUAUAUCGUCAGCGACUCAGCAAAAGCUUUAAGUGAUCCACCUGGGGAGUACGAUCGCAAGGUUGAAACUCAAAGGAAUUGACGGGGGCCCGCACAAGCGGAGGAGCAUGUGGUUUAAUUCGAUGAUACGCGAGGAACCUUACCAGGGCUUAAAUGGGAGAUGACAGGAGCAGAGACGCUCUUUUCUUCGGACAUCUUUCAAGGUGCUGCAUGGUUGUCGUCAGCUCGUGCCGUGAGGUGUCAGGUUAAGUCCUAUAACGAGCGCAACCCCUACCGUUAGUUGCCAGCAUGUAAAGAUGGGGACUCUAACGGGACUGCCGGUGCAAACCGUGAGGAAGGUGGGGAUGACGUCAAAUCAUCACGGCCCUUACGUCCUGGGCUACACACGUGCUACAAUGGUAGGUACAGAGAGCAGCCACGCCGCAAGGCGGAGCGAAUCUAUAAAACCUAUCACAGUUCGGAUCGGGGUCUGCAACUCGACCCCGUGAAGCUGGAAUCGCUAGUAAUCGCACAUCAGCCAUGGUGCGGUGAAUACGUUCCCGGGCCUUGUACACACCGCCCGUCAAGCCAUGGAAGCUGGGGGUACCUGAAGUCCGUAACCGUUAAGGAGCGGCCUAGGGUAAAACCGGUGACUGGGGCUAAGUCGUAACAAGGUAGCCG